rnacentral:rRNA from 1 species
AUUGAACGCUGGCGGCAGGCUUAACACAUGCAAGUCGAGCGGGGUGAUGGUGCUUGCACUAUCACUUAGCGGCGGACGGGUGAGUAAUGCUUAGGAAUCUGCCUAUUAGUGGGGGACAACAUCUCGAAAGGGAUGCUAAUACCGCAUACGUCCUACGGGAGAAAGCAGGGGAUCACUUGUGACCUUGCGCUAAUAGAUGAGCCUAAGUCGGAUUAGCUAGUUGGUGGGGUAAAGGCCUACCAAGGCGACGAUCUGUAGCGGGUCUGAGAGGAUGAUCCGCCACACUGGGACUGGGACACGGCCCAGACUCCUACGGGAGGCAGCAGUGGGGAAUAUUGGACAAUGGGGGGAACCCUGAUCCAGCCAUGCCGCGUGUGUGAAGAAGGCCUUAUGGUUGCAAAGCACUUUAAGCGAGGAGGAGGCUUACCUAGUUAAUACCUGGGAUAAGUGGACGUUACUCGCAGAAUAAGCACCGGCUAACUCUGUGCCAGCCGCCGCCGUAA